CAAAGCGUCAACUUUGAAGUGUGCGAUAUAUGGCUUGGAUUCCGCUGUCCUGUCUGCGAUGUGGCUGCACAAACAGACCGGGCCGCUCAAAUGGAUCAGGUACAGGUGAGUUCUGGCUCCUCAGAUCAGGUACAGGUGAGUUCAGGCCGCCAGAACGGAUCAGGUACAGGUGAGUUCUGGCCUCUCGGAUCAGGUACAGGUGAGUUCAGGCCCCUCGAAUCAGGUACAGCUGAGUUCAGGCCUCUCGGAUCAGGUACAGGUGAGUUCAGGCCGCCAGAACGGAUCAGGUACAGGUGAGUUCAGGCCGCCAGAACGGAUCAGGUACAGGUGAGUUCAGGCCGCCAGAGCGGAUCAGGUACAGAUGAG